rnacentral:rRNA from 1 species
UACGGAGGGUGCAAGCGUUAUCCGGAUUUAUUGGGUUUAAAGGGUCCGUAGGCGGACCGUUAAGUCAGCGGUGAAAGCCCACAGCUCAACUGUGGAACUGCCGUUGAUACUGACAGUCUUGAGUACAAGUGAAGUUGGCGGAAUGUGUGGUGUAGCGGUGAAAUGCUUAGAUAUCACACAGAACACCGAUUGCGAAGGCAGCUGGCUAACUUGUAACUGACGCUGAGGGACGAAAGUGUGGGGAUCAAACAGG